UUUCCGUAGGCGAACCUGCGGAAGGAUCAUUACAGAGUUCAUGCCCUCACGGGUAGAUCUCCCACCCUUGAAUAUUUAUACCUUAGUUGCUUUGGCAGGCCGUGGAAACACCAUGGGCUCCGGCUUAUGCGUGCCUGCCAGAGGAAACAAACUCUGUUAUUAGUGAUGUCUGAGUACUAUAUAAUAGUUAAAACUUUCAACAACGGAUCUCUUGGUUCUG
rnacentral:misc_RNA from 1 species